GAUGAAGAACGUAGCGAAACGCGAUAUGUAAUGUGAAUUGCAGAAUUCAGUGAAUCAUCGAAUCUUUGAACGCACAUUGCGCCCGCCAGCAUUCUGGCGGGCAUGCCUGUUCGAGCGUCAUUUCAACCCUCGAGCCCCCCCGGGGGCCUCGGUGUUGGGGGACGGCACACCAGCCGCCCCCGAAAUGCAGUGGCGACCCCGCCGCAGCCUCCCCUGCGUAGUAGCACACACCUCGCACCGGAGCGCGGAGGCGGUCACGCCGUAAAACGCCCAACUUUCUUAGAGUUGACCUCGGAUCAGGUAGGAAUACCCGCUGAACUUAAGAAUAUCAAUAAGCGGAGGA
rnacentral:misc_RNA from 1 species